rnacentral:rRNA from 1 species
ACGGAAGGCAGCAGUGGGGAAUAUUGGGCAAUGGGCGCAAGCCUGACCAGCAAUGCCGCGUGAAGGAAGAAGGCUUUCGGGUUGUAAACUUCUUUUAAGUGGGACGAUAAUGACGGUACCGCUUGAAUAAGCUCCGGCUAACUACGUGCCAGCAGCCGCGGUAAUACGUAGGGAGCAAGCGUUAUCCGGAUUUACUGGGUGUAAAGGGCGUGUAGGCGGGACAGCAAGUCAGAUGUGAAAGCACGAGGCUCAACUUCGUGUCUGCAUUUGAAACUGCUGUUCUUGAGUGCUGGAGAGGCUAACGGAACUCCUAGUGUAGCGGUGAAAUGCGUAGAUAUUAGGAAGAACACCAGUGGCGAAGGCGGUUAGCUGGACAGUAACUGACGCUGAGGCGCGAAAGCGUGGGUAGCAAACAGGAUUAGAUACCCUGGUA